UCUCCUUUCCAAUUCCAAUUCUGCUCCCUCCAUUGAACCCAAUUCUUUUCCCUUAUGAUAUCAUCACUGAAACAACUUAAAACAUCAAAAACAAAAAGCACAAAAAGCUUCCUAUGAGGUUCAAACAGCUCGAUACUGUGGUUACUACAAAUGCAUACAAGUGGUUGAGGAAAAGUCUCAGAGCAGGGGAAAACGAAAGAAAGGAGGACAAUAAUAAGCAAACGAGAUGUAACAAAAGCAACAAGAAAGAGAAGGAGAGCAGAAAAGGAGCAAAGUUUCUUGGAUGUAGAAUAAUGAAGUUCUGGGUGUUUCUUUUUCUUUUUCGAGUGGGCAAUCGAG
rnacentral:misc_RNA from 1 species